rnacentral:tRNA from 1 species
GUUUAAGUAGUUUAAAAAAAAUAUUGGUUUGUGGGACCAAAGAUAUAAAUUAUUAUCUUAGACU